rnacentral:lncRNA from 1 species
CAGAGCUAGAGGUGGAGCUGCUGUUAGCCACGUAAGGCUGGUGGGGCCAGGGUGGGUGAUGGUGGGGGAAGUUGGCUGGAAGUCCACCUAGAAGGGGCUUCACUGUGCUCACCUGACCCCUUGGGGUGGCGUCUGUGCCCGCUGCCCACGCCCGCCCUGCCACAUGCCAGGAUCAGCGAGCAGGAGCUGCGUCCGGUCUCUGCCCGAGCUCGUGUCUUCAUCGAGCUGCCGCUGUCCAUCACAGGGUAAGCCCUGCCCAGGGGGGCACCGCCGCCAGAGGGGUGGGCACUGCUACUGCCAAACCCAGGCCUGGGCUCUACCUCACCCUCCAUCAGGCCCCAGGCCUCCUGAGCCCCCGUUUUGACCCCUCCUCGCCAGGGUGGCCAUUCCCCAGCAGCUCUUCUUCUCCGGCGUGGUGCGGGGUGAGAGUGCCAUGCGGUCUGAGCGGGAUGUGGGCAGCAAGGUCAAGUACGAGGUCACGGUCUCCAACCAAGGCCAGUCACUCAACACCCUGGGCUCUGCCUUCCUCAACAUCAUGUGGCCCCACGAGAUUGCCAACGGGAAGUGGCUGCUGUACCCCAUGCGGGUCGAGCUGGAGGGCGGGCAGGGGCCCGGGCAGAAGGGGCUCUGUUCCCCCAGGCCCAACGCCCUCUACCUGGAUGUGGACAGCAGGGACAGGAGGCGGCGGGAGCUGGGGCAGCCGGAGCAGCCGGAGCCUCGUGAGCAGCCGGAGCCCAGCACGUCCUGGUGGCCAGUGUCCUCUGCUGAGAAGAAGAAAAACGUCACCCUGGUGCGGGCAGGGCAAACUUGGUGCAGCCAGAAUGGGGGAGGGGGCGCGUGGUAUGAUAGAGGAUGCGGGUGGUGGGGAGGGAAUGGUGCGUCAGGACGGUGGGUGGCGCGUGGGGAGGUGCGAUGGUCUGACAGCUGGGCAAGUUGACAGGACAGUGCACAACACGCCUGUGAGGCAGCUGCGGACGCCAAAGUCCCACCCCUCCACGCUCGCCAGGUGCUUACUCCAGGGCAGGCGCUUACCUAUAGCCUUUUCAUCUUGUGGAUGA